rnacentral:rRNA from 1 species
AUACUCGCUAGGUGUCUGGCCAUCGGGACCUGCCGACUCUUGUCGGUGCCGAAGGGAAACCCGUGAAACCGAGCCACCUGGGGAAGUACGGCCGCAAGGCUGAAACUUAAAGGAAUUGGCGGGGGAGCACCACAACGGGGUGGAGCCUUGCGGUUUAAUUGGAUUCAACGCCGGAAAUCUCACCGGGACCGACAGCAAUAUGAAGGCCAGGCUGAAGACUUUGCUUGAUUAGCUGAGAGG